rnacentral:rRNA from 1 species
UACAGAGGUCUCAAGCGUUGUUCGGAAUCACUGGGCGUAAAGGGUGCGUAGGCCGCACGGUAAGUCAGAGGUGAAAUCCCGGAGCUCAACUCCGGAAUGGCCUCCGAUACUGCCGUGCUCGAGGACUGGAGAGGAGUCUGGAAUUCACAGUGGAGCAGUGAAAUGCGUAGAUAUCGGAAGGAACGCCGGUGGCGAAAGCGGCGCACUGGAUCCCCACUGACGCUGAGGCGCGAAAGCCAGGGGAGCAAACGGG